GACAACGCUUGCGGCGUGCCUAAGAAAUGCAAGUCGAGCGAGGUUUAGGCUUCGGCCGACGACCUAGCGGCGAACGGUCGCGUAACACGUAAGCAACCUGCCCUAAAGUUGGGGAUAGCCCGCCGAAAGGCGGAUUAAUACCGAAUGUGGAUAUGAUUUCGCAUGUGAUUAUAUCUGAAGCAGCGAUGCGCUUUAGGAUGGGCUUGCGGCCUAUCAGUUAGUUGGUGUGGGUAACGGCCUACCAAGACGACGACGGGUAGCUGGUCUGAGAGGAUGGUCAGCCGGAUUGGGACUGAGACACGGCCCAGACUCCUACGGGGGGCAGCAAUUAGGAAUCUUGCGCAAUGGGCGAAAGCCUGACGCAGCGACGCCGCGUGACUGAUGAAGUCUUUCGAGAUGUAAAGGUCUUUUGUUGGGGACGAAGGAAGUGACGGUACCCGACGAAUAAGCCCCGGCUAACUACGUG
rnacentral:rRNA from 1 species